rnacentral:rRNA from 1 species
AUUGAACGCUGGCGGCAGGCCUAACACAUGCAAGUCGAACGAGUGGCGGACGGGUGAGUAAUGUCUGGGAAACUGCCUGAUGGAGGGGGAUAACUACUGGAAACGGUAGCUAAUACCGCAUACCCUCAGAUGUGCCCCGAUGGGCUUAGCUUGUUGGUGGGGUAACGGCUCACCAAGGCGACGAUCCCUAGCUGGUCGGAGAGGAUGACCAGCCACACUGGAACUGGGAACGGGUCCAGACUCCAACGUGAGGCAGCAGGGGGGAAUAGGGCACAAUGGGCGCAAGCCUGAUGCAGCCAUGCCGCGUGUAUGAAGGGGGCCGUCGGGUUGUAAAGUACUUUCAGCGGGGGGGCGUUACCCGCAGAAGAAGCACCGGCUAACUCCGUGCCAGCAGCCGCGGUAAUAC